GGAUUAGAUACCCUGGUAGUCCACGCCGUAAACGAUGUCUACUAGCCGUUGGGGGACUUGAUCUUUUAGUGGCGCAGCUAACGCGAUAAGUAGACCGCCUGGGGAGUACGGCCGCAAGGUUAAAACUCAAAUGAAUUGACGGGGGCCCGCACAAGCGGUGGAGUAUGUGGUUUAAUUCGAAGCAACGCGAAGAACCUUACCAACUCUUGACAUCCAGAGAAGUUACUAGAGAUAGUUUCGUGCCUUCGGGAACUCUGAGACAGGUGCUGCAUGGCUGUCGUCAGCUCGUGUCG
rnacentral:rRNA from 1 species